GAAGCCUAAUCCAGCCCACGGAGCGGGGGAACCAAUUUUUUGGGGUGAAUGAAAAUCAGUCAUGCCUUUGGCGGAAGCUGAUCUUAAAGGGUAGUCUUCUCUGCCCUAACCCGGCAGCUAACCUCGUAGGCGUAUAGAGAGAGGA
rnacentral:sRNA from 1 species